rnacentral:rRNA from 1 species
AGCGAACGCUGGCGGCAGGCUUAACACAUGCAAGUCGAGCGGGCACUUUCGGGUGUCAGCGGCGGACGGGUGAGUAACGCGUGGGAACGUGCCCUCUGGUUCGGAAUAACUCAGGGAAACUUGAGCUAAUACCGGAUACGCCCUUUUGGGGAAAGGCUUGCUGGCGGAGGAUCGGCCCGCGUCUGAUUAGCUAGUUGGUGAGGUAACGGCUCACCAAGGCGACGAUCAGUAGCUGGUCUGAGAGGAGGAUCAGCCACACUAGGACUGAGACACGGCCCAGACUCCUACGGGAGGCAGCAGUGGGGAAUAUUGGACAAGGGGCGCAAGCCUGAUCCAGCCAUGCCGCGUGAGUGAUCAAGGCCUUAGGGUUGUAAAGCUCUUUUAUCCGGGACGAUAAUGACGGUACCGGAGGAAUAAGCCCCGGCUAACUUCGUG